CCUACGGGAGGCAGCAGUGAGGAAUAUUGGUCAAUGGGCGGGAGCCUGAACCAGCCAAGCCGCGUGAGGGAAGAAGGUACAGCGUAUCGUAAACCUCUUUUGUCAGGGAACAAAGGCGGGGACUAGUCCCCGGAUGAGGGUACCUGAAUAACAAGCAUCGGCUAACUCCGUGCCAGCAGCCGCGGUAAUACGGAGGAUGCGCGCGUUAUCCGGAUUUAUUGGGUUUAAAGGGUGGGCAGGCGGCCUGUUAAGUCAGCGGUAAAAGCCCGGGGCUCAACCCCGGCGAGCCGUUGAAACUGGCGGGCUGGAGUUGGAGAGAAGUACGCGGAAGGCGCGGUGUAGCGGUGAAAUGCUUAGAUAUCGCGCAGAACCCCGAUGGCGAAGGCAGCAUACCGGCGCUCAACUGACGCUCAUGCACGAAAGCGUGGGUAUCGAACAGGAUUAGAUACCCCUGUAGUC
rnacentral:rRNA from 1 species